GCCUGGUUGGCUCACUGUGUAGAGCAUGUGACUCUUGAUCUUGCAGUUGUGGGUUUGAGCCCCACAUUGGGUG
rnacentral:tRNA from 1 species